rnacentral:rRNA from 1 species
CCUACGGGUGGCAGCAGUGGGGAAUAUUGCACAAUGGGGGAAACCCUGAUGCAGCGACGCCGCGUGAGUGAAGAAGUAAUUCGUGAUGUAAAGCUCUAUCAGCAGGGAAGAAAAGGACGGUACCUGAGGAAGAAGCACCGGCUAACGACGUGCCAGCAGCCGCGGUAAUACGUAGGGGGCAAGCGUUAGCCGGAUUUACUGGGUGUAAAGGGAGCGUAGACGGCAGUUCAAGGCUGGAGUGAAAGGCGGGGGCUCACCCCCCGGACUGCUCUGGAAACGGUACGGCUGGAGUGCAGGAGAGGUACGUGGACUUCCUUGUGUAGCCGUUACUUGCUUCGCUAUUAGGCGGAACCCCAGUGGCGAAGGCGGCUUACUGUACUGUAACUGACUUU